CAGUGCACCCUCCCGUGAAGCCUCCGGUUCAUCCACCAGUGUACCCUCCCGUGAAGCCUCCAGUUCAUCCACCGGUUAAGCCUCCAGUACACCCACCGGUUAAGCCUCCAGUGCACCCUCCCGUGAAGCCUCCGGUUCAUCCACCAGUGUACCCUCCCGUGAAGCCUCCUCCAGCCUUCACCCUCCACCGGUUAAGCCUCCAGUGCACCCUCCCGUGAAGCCUCCAGUACACCCACCAGUGUACCCUCCCGUGAAGCCUCCAGUUCAUCCACCGGUUAAGCCUCCAGUGCACCCUCCCGUGAAGCCUCCAGUACACCCACCGGUUAAGCCUCCAGUGCACCCUCCCGUGAAGCCUCCGGUUCAUCCACCAGUAUACCCUCCCGUGAAGCCUCCAGUUCAUCCACCGGUUAAGCCUCCAGUGCACCCUCCCGUGAAGCCUCCAGUACACCCACCGGUUAAGCCUCCAGUGCACCCUCCUGUGAAGCCUCCAGUUAAGCCUCCAGUGUACCCUCCCGUGAAGC
rnacentral:lncRNA from 1 species